rnacentral:rRNA from 1 species
GAUGAACGCUGGCGGCGUGCCUAAUACAUGCAAGUCGAGCGAACGGACGAGGAGCUUGCUUCUCUGAUGUUAGCGGCGGACGGGUGAGUAACACGUGGAUAACCUACCUAUAAGACUGGGAUAACUUCGGGAAACCGUAGCUAAUACCGGAUAAUAUUUUGAACCGCAUGGUUCAAAAGUGAAAGACGGUCUUGCUGUCACUUAUAGAUGGAUCCGCGCUGCAUUAGCUAGUUGGUAAGGUAACGGCUUACCAAGGCAACGAUGCAUAGCCGACCUGAGAGGGUGAUCGGCCACACUGGAACUGAGACACGGUCCAGACUCCUACGGGAGGCAGCAGUAGGGAAUCUUCCGCAAUGGGCGAAAGCCUGACGGAGCAACGCCGCGUGAGUGAUGAAGGUCUUCGGAUCGUAAAACUCUGUUAUUAGGGAAGAACAUAUGUGUAAGUAACUGUGCACAUCUUGACGGUACCUAAUCAGAAAGCCACGGCUAACUACGU